AGGGAAUCUUCCGCAAUGGACGAAAGUCUGACGGAGCAACGCCGCGUGAGUGAUGAAGGUUUUCGGAUCGUAAAGCUCUGUUGCCAGGGAAGAACGUCUUCUGGAGUAACUGCCAGGAGAGUGACGGUACCUGAGAAGAAAGCCCCGGCUAACUACGUGCCAGCAGCCGCGGUAAUACGUAGGGGGCAAGCGUUGUCCGGAAUCAUUGGGCGUAAAGCGCGCGCAGGCGGCUGUUUAAGUCUGGUGUUUAAUCCUGGGGCUCAACCCCGGGUCGCACUGGAAACUGGACGGCUUGAGUGCAGAAGAGGAGAGUGGAAUUCCACGUGUAGCGGUGAAAUGCGUAGAGAUGUGGAGGAACACCAGUGGCGAAGGCGACUCUCUGGGCUGUAACUGACGCUGAGGCACGAAAGCGUGGGUAGCAAAC
rnacentral:rRNA from 1 species